GACGUAGGGGGCAAGCGUUGUCCGGAAUCAUUGGGCGUAAAGCGCGUGUAGGCGGCUCGGUAAGUCUGCUGUGAAAGUCCAGGGCUCAACCCUGGAAAGCCGGUGGAAACUGUCGAGCUAGAGUCCGGAAGAGGCGAGUGGAAUUCCUGGUGUAGCGGUGAAAUGCGCAGAUAUCAGGAGGAACACCAAUGGCGAAGGCAGCUCGCUGGGACGGUACUGACGCUGAGACGCGAAAGCGUGGGGAGCAAACAGG
rnacentral:rRNA from 1 species